rnacentral:rRNA from 2 species
UGCAGCCAUAGCCAUAUCACCUUGCAGCCCAAGACCGGUUACUCGCUGAAGCUAAGCAGGUCUUAGCCUGGUCAGUACCUGCAUGCGAGACCACAUGGAAAAACUAGGUUGCUGCUGUAC